rnacentral:rRNA from 1 species
UACGUAGGGCGCAAGCGUUGUCCGGAAUUAUUGGGCGUAAAGAGCUCGUAGGCGGUUCGUCGCGUCGGCUGUGAAAUCCCGAGGCUCAACCUCGGGUCUACAGUCGAUACGGGCGGACUGGAGUUCGGCAGGGGAGACUGGAAUUCCUGGUGUAGCGGUGAAAUGCGUAGAUAUCAGGAGGAACACCUGCGGUGUAGACGGCUUACUGGACGGUAACUGACGCUGAGGCACGAAAGCGUGGGUAGCAAACAGG